CUAACCUGCUCACUGAUAAGGUUUUAAAGAGCCGCGGUAUUUUGACCGUGCAAAGGUAGCAUAAUCAUUAGUCUCUUAAUUAGGGGCUGGUAUGAAUGGUUUGACGAGAAAUCANCUGUCUCUUAUUAAAUUAUAGAAUUUAACUUUUGAGUUAAAAGGCUUAAAUUUUUCUUUAAGACGAGAAGACCCUAUAGAGCUUAACAUUUUAUUUUUAUAUAAUUUUUAGUUUAUAUUUUUAUAUAAAAAGAUAAUGUUUGGUUGGGGUGACAUGAAGAAUAAAUAAACUCUUCAUAAUAAAAUCAUUAAUUUAUGUUUAAAUGAUCCAUAAUUUAUGAUCAUAAGAUUUAGUUACCUUAGGGAUAACAGCGUAAUUAUUUUUGAGAGCUCAUAUCGACAAAAUAGAUUGCGACCUCGAUGUUGGAUUAAGAAUAAUUUUGGGUGCAGAAGCCCAAUAAUUAGGUCUGU
rnacentral:rRNA from 1 species